rnacentral:rRNA from 1 species
AUUGAACGCUGGCGGCAGGCUUAACACAUGCAAGUCGAGCGGGGGAAGGUAGCUUGCUACUGGACCUAGCGGCGGACGGGUGAGUAAUGCUUAGGAAUCUGCCUAUUAGUGGGGGACAACAUCUCGAAAGGGAUGCUAAUACCGCAUACGUCCUACGGGAGAAAGCAGGGGAUCUUCGGACCUUGCGCUAAUAGAUGAGCCUAAGUCGGAUUAGCUAGUUGGUGGGGUAAAGGCCUACCAAGGCGACGAUCUGUAGCGGGUCUGAGAGGAUGGUCCGCCAGACUGGGACUGGGACACGGCCCAGACUCCUACGGGAGGCAGCAGUGGGGAAUAUUGGACAAUGGGGGGAACCCUGAUCCAGCCAUGCCGCGUGUGUGAAGAAGGCCUUAUGGUUGUAAAGCACUUUAAGCGAGGAGGAGGCUACUUUAGUUAAUACCUAGAGAUAGUGGACGUUACUCGCAGAAUAAGCACCGGCUAACUCUGUGCCAGCCGCCGCCGUAA